AACGUAGGAGGCGAGCGUUAUCCGGAUUUACUGGGUGUAAAGCGCGUGCAGGCGGUGGGUUAAGUUGGGUGUAAAAGCUCCUGGCUCAACUGGGAGAGGUCGCUCAAAACUGGCCGACUGGAGAGUGGUAGAGGAAGGUGGAAUUCCGGGUGUAGUGGUGAAAUGCGCAGAUAUCAGGAGGAACACCGAUGGCGAAGGCAGCCUCCUGGGAUAACACUGACGCUCAUGCACGAAAGCGUGGGGAGCAAACAGG
rnacentral:rRNA from 1 species